AGAUGUUGGUUAAGUCCGCAACGAGCGCAACCCCUAUUGUUAGUUGCCAUCAUUCAGUUGGGCACUCUAGCGAGACUGCCGGUAAUAAACCGGAGGAAGGUGGGGAUGACGUCAAAUCAUCAUGCCCCUUAUGACCUGGGCUACACACGUGCUACAAUGGUUGGUACAACGAGUUGCGAGUCGGUGACGGCGAGCUAAUCUCUUAAAGCCAAUCUCAGUUCGGAUUGUAGGCUGCAACUCGCCUACAUGAAGUCGGAAUCGCUAGUAAUCGCGGAUCAGCACGCCGCGGUGAAUACGUUCCCGGGCCUU
rnacentral:rRNA from 1 species